AAGGGCACCACAAGAACGCGUGGAGCAUGUGGCUUAAUUUGACUCAACGCGGGAAAUCUUACCGGGUCCGGACACACUGAGGAUUGACAGGCAAUAUUAAUACGCAGUUCGCUGCGUAUUAUGUUAAAUAUGCUAGUCCUUUCAUGAUUAUGUGAUAGGUGGUGCAUGGCCGUUCUUAGUUCGUGGAGUGAUCUGUCUGCUUAAUUGCGUUUCACUAAGGACCUAUACAUUACAUGUGUUGCGGCACUUUGACCCCUCUUCGGAGCGCGUGUCUUAGCUGUUUAGCUCGCAUAAUUAGGUCCUGAAAGCAACGAACGUGACCGCAACCUCUUGUUGCCUUUAUCCCAAACAUGUUUGCUAUUUAUAGCAUUCAUGAAAAAAGGCUUUUUAAACUAGAGGGACCGCUGUUACUUUCUUAAACCAGAGGAAGGUUGCGGCAAUAACAGGUCUGUGAUGCCCUUAGAUGUUCCGGGCUGCACACGUGCUACAAUGAUUGUUGCAGUGAGCAUCUCAUUUUUACACACCGCAUGCGCGAGUCCAUUUAUUCACUUCGGUGCUUUAAAUGUGUAUUUCUGCGCGCGGUAAAGCCUGCUUCGAAAGUAAGUGGGUAAUCAAUUAGAAGUAACGAUUUCCUUUAGCACACAUAUAUACGGCGUCUACACCCGGGUUGCCUUGUUGUAACUUCUGUGCGUGUAGAUGUUUUUUCCGUAUGUGCGAUUGUCAAUUCAUGGUGGGGACAGACCAUUGUUAAUUGUUGGUCUCGGUCUUAACUAGGAAUGCCUUGUACGGGUCUUUGGUUCAACAAACCACCCGGAAUACGUCCCUGCGCUUUGUACACACCGCCCGUCGCUCUUACCGAUGAACUUCUCUGUGAGUUUGAGGGACUGGGAUCGCAGAUUUAUCUGCACUACCUAUGGAAACUUAAACGAACAGUGUGGUUUAAAGGAAAGAGAAGUCGUAACAAGGCAUCGGUAGGUGAACCUGCAGAAGGAUCA
rnacentral:rRNA from 1 species